CGUUUGAGAGGAUGAUCAGUCACACUGGAACUGAGACACGGUCCAGACUCCUACGGGAGGCAGCAGUGGGGAAUAUUGCACAAUGGAGGAAACUCUGAUGCAGCAACGCCGCGUGGAGGAUGACACAUUUCGGUGCGUAAACUCCUUUUAUAUAAGAAGAUAAUGUCGGUAUUAUAUGAAUAAGCUCCGGCUAACUCCGUGCCAGCAGCCGCGGUAAUACGGGGGGAGCAAGCGUUACUCGGAAUCACUGGGCGUAAAGAGCAUGUAGGCUGGUAGAAAAGUUGGAAGUGAAAUCCUGUGGCUUAACCAUAGAACUGCUUCCAAAACUCUCUACCUAGAAUAUGGGAGAGGUAGAUGGAAUUUCUGGUGUAGGGGUAAAAUCCGUAGAGAUCAGAAGGAAUACCGAUUGCGAAGGCGAUCUACUGGAACAUUAUUGACGCUGAGAUGCGAAAGCGUGGGGAGCAAACAGGAUUAGAUACCCUGGUAGUCCACGCCCUAAACGAUGCACACUAGUUGUUGCUAUACUAGAUAUAGCAGUAAUGCAGUUAACACAGUAAGUGUGCCGCCUGGGGAGUACGGUCGCAAGAUUAAAACUCAAAGGAAUAGACGGGGACCCGCACAAGCGGUGGAGCAUGUGGUUUAAUUCGACAUACGCGAAGAACCUUACCUGGCCUUGACAUAAAGAGAACUUACUAGAGAUAGUUUGGUGCUAGCUUGCUAGAACUCUUAUACAGGUGCUGCACGGCUGUCGUCAGCUCGUGUCGUGAGAUGUUGGGUUAAGUCCCGCAACGAGCGCAACCCUCGUGUUUAGUUACUAACAGUUCGGCUGAGGACUCUAGACAGACUGCCUUCGUAAGGAGGAGGAAGGUGAGGACGACGUCAAGUCAUCAUGGCCCUUACGGCCAGGGCUACACACGUGCUACAAUGGGGCAUACAAAGAGCAGCGAUACCGCGAGGUGGAGCAAAUCUCAUAAAAUGCCUCCCAGUUCGGAUAGCAGUCUGCAACUCGACUGCUUGAAGUUGGAAUCGCUAGUAAUCGUAGAUCAGCAAUGCUACGGUGAAUACGUUCCCGGGUCUUGUACUCACCGCCCGUCACACCAUGGGAGUUGAUUUCAUUCGAAGCGGGGAUGCUAAAGUAGCUACCUUCCACAGUGGAAUUAGCGACUAGGGUGAAGUCGUAACAAGGUAACCGUAGGAGAACCUGCGGUUG
rnacentral:rRNA from 1 species